CACAAUCUGUCAACGAAACCUGUCGAGAAAAACUAACUAUUUAACGACGAAAAAUGGAAAAUGAAAUGAAUUCAACACCUCCUACCUUGGCAAACGUUGGCUUGCACAGGGUGACUGAGACCCGUAACCGCCGUUUCAAGGAACCUAAGAAGCUGGUGGCAUGUUCCACAGAUGACGAGUUGUUCGUAAAGCGUCCACAUUUCACAAAGAAAAACCUUUCCGAAGACCAGGAAAUGGAGGAGGAAGGCGGUGAGAAUUGGGUGACCAAUGACCUGGAAGGACCCAACUCUACACUCAUUGCCCAGAGGCUGAUGAACUUCCUUAUGAUGGCCUCAUCACACCGCUGGAUCUGGCACGAGUUCGGGGACUCCUUUAUGAAUGCUCCCAUCCUGCGUGGAGCCUACGACCUGGGCAGCUUCUCGCGCGAGUACUAUCCGGAGUUGAAGACUAGCUUCUUGCCGCGCCGCGGAUGGCAGCUGCUCCGCCGAAGUUUGGGCAAGGCUCGCCGUUAUUCGCCGUCCUUCAUUGAACUAGAGCUCAAGGAGUAUGGCCCCAGUGUGCCACAGGCGCAGCAGUCCAAGGAGCGGUAUGAAUACAGCAGCAAGCUUCUAGAGUCCAUAGUGUUGGUGAAGAGACUGUUAGCCAAGAAGAAGAAGGCUCUACUGGAGAUUGCCUCCAAAAACGAGGAGUUUGAGAGCGGCAACGACUCCAAGAGCUGUAAAAGUUCCAAGGGCUCCAAGAACUCUGGCGGCUCCAAGACAACGUUGCAACUCUGCUUUGCUACUCUGUAUCGUGUGAAUGCCGACAUCAUGGCACCCAUGACUGUCCUUCACGAGCACUUGGCUCAAUUCCGCAAGGAGCAGGAGGAAAUGGAGGCUAUGGAACGCAGCGCCCUCGAGAUCUACGCCAAGUGUUGCCACCGGGCCGAGAUGGAUCUCCAGUUGGCCGAGAGGCAUAAAUCUCUAGUGCUAACUUCGCCUGCCACCAGAGAUUUGGUUCAGGCUCUUCAAACCAUCCUGUAUAUCACUGGGGAGUUGGGAGGACCGAACAGCGCCGAAUUGCUGGUCAUCCAGGACAACCUGAUCUCGCACUUGCAGGACAGUCUCCCUCCGGCACUGAGUGCCCAGCUUAAGAAGACGAUGAAGGAACUGGAACCUUACCGCCAGCGCAUGAAUGAAUUAUUCAAGAUCGUCCCGAAGGAGAGUCCCAUAGAGGAAAUGCAGUGGGAUAUCCAGUAGUAGCUUUACUUAGAGCCUCUUAGCAGAGGAUACCAACAAAAGGAACCUAACCAGAGUGUCAUGUGCAUUGGGAGCCACAAGGAGCUUAACGAAGUUUCCUCCCCCAGAAGAAUUUGCAGCAUUGCAGUCUUCUUGAAAUACUUAUAUUGAGGGUUGUGGGAGGAAGCUGAUGAAGAAUA